rnacentral:rRNA from 1 species
AGAGUUUGAUCAUGGCUCAGAACGAACGCUGGCGGCGUGCCUAACACAUGCAAGUCGAGGGAGAAAGCCCGCAAGGGUUAGUAAACCGGCGAACGGGUGCGUAACACGUGGAUAAUCUACCUCGGUGACCGGGAUAACUGGCCGAAAGGCUUGCUAAUACCGGAUAAGCCCACGUCGUCUUCGGACGAUGAGGGAAAAGGUGGCCUCUGCAUGCAAGCUAUCACACCGGGAUGAGUCCGCGGCCCAUCAGCUAGUUGGCGGGGUAAUGGCCCACCAAGGCUACGACGGGUAGCUGGUCUGAGAGGAUGAUCAGCCACACUGGAACUGAGACACGGUCCAGACUCCUACGGGAGGCAGCAGUGGGGAAUCUUGCGCAAUGGGCGAAAGCCUGACGCAGCAACGCCGCGUGUGUGAUGAAGGUCUUCGGAUCGUAAAGCACUGUCGCGAGGGAAGAGAUGCGCGGGGAUAACACCCCCGCGCUAGGACGGUACCUCGAGAGGAAGCACCGGCUAACUCUGUGCCAGCAGCCGCGGUAAUACAGAGGGUGCGAGCGUUGUUCGGAAUCAUUGGGCGUAAAGCGCUUGUAGGCGGCUUGUUAAGUCGCGUGUGAAAUCCCUUGGCUCAACCAAGGAAGUGCGCGCGAAACUGGCGAGCUCGAGUGCCGGAGAGGGUCGCGGAAUUCCCGGUGUAGAGGUGAAAUUCGUAGAUAUCGGGAGGAACACCAGUGGCGAAGGCGGCGACCUGGACGGACACUGACGCUGAGACGCGAAAGCGUGGGGAGCAAACAGGAUUAGAUACCCCCGUAGUCC